rnacentral:rRNA from 1 species
AAACUUUCAACAACGGAUCUCUUGGUUCUGGCAUCGAUGAAGAACGCAGCGAAUGCGAUAAGUAAUGUGAAUUGCAGAAUUCAGUGAAUCAUCGAAUCUUUGAACGCACAUUGCGCCCCUUGGUAUUCCGGGGGGCAUGCCUGUUCGAGCGUCAUU